UACCAGCACCCCGAGUGGUCGGGACGUUUAUUGGGCCUAAAGCAUCCGUAGCCGGUUCUACAAGUCUUCCGUUAAAUCCACCUGCUCAACAGAUGGGCUGCGGAAGAUACUAUGGAGCUAGGAGGCGGGAGAGGCAAGCGGUACUCGAUGGGUAGGGGUAAAAUCCGUUGAUCCAUUGAAGACCACCAGUGGCGAAGGCGGCUUGCCAGAACGCGCUCGACGGUGAGGGAUGAAAGCUGGAGGAGCAAACCGG
rnacentral:rRNA from 1 species